rnacentral:sRNA from 1 species
CCUGUCAAUGGUCUGCGGUUCAAAAAUAAUCGUGCAAGCCAAGGCCAACGAACCACAAUAGGCAAACCAACAACACGGGGAGCCUUUCCGAGGGAGAUAUAAAGGGGCCAACAGUAACUCAAAUCAUUAACUUAACCACGACUACUCGGCCGCAUUGAUUCGCCGCCAGACUGGCUCAUAAAGCGCAUAAGCCAGUCACUUUCCGAUUCACUAUCGCUAUCACCAAGUUCGUCUAGCAUACGGUCAAUCGCAUCGCCUGCUUCAUGCUCCCGUAGGCCGCUAGGUCCAUUUCUUGGAUGCGCAUCGCUCGAACUGUUGCUCGUGUCAUCGGCAAAACUGACCUUGCGAGCGGGACGGAUCGCAUUCGGGGUGUUAUGGCGGAUCCCCAGACCCAAACGACCCUCGAUAGGGGAGGACUGUUGGGAUGAGGGUCUGGGUAAGGAAGGCGAAGGAAGAGUAAGAUGCAUGCCGCGAUACUCAUUCUGUUGCGUUUGCUGGGAGCUUGGAUGAUACCCUGAAUUUUCAGGGCUUGACAUGAACAGCAAAGUUUCAAUAGCAUCCUUUUCCAUAAGCGCAUUUUGGGAUGGCGUUCUUUGUUUCGGAACUGGCCUCGUGGUGGUGGUGGAAGCUGUGAUGGAAGAUGGAGUCGCGGAUUGGCGAGAUAAUUGGGGUUGCGAAUCCGGCGAUGUGUCGAGAAUGGCCACAGUCGAAGUAACCGUCUGGGUAGAUGAAACGGAAUAUCCCCCAUCUGCAAACGACUCAUUUCGAGGAUGGUAGUUCUGGUUCGCCGACGCGGUUUGUAAUAGGGUGUCAUUGGGAUUUGGUCGGCGACGCGUUGCAUUGCCGUUCCCAGAUACAAUAUCAGCGGGCGGAGCAAGGCGUGGUGGAUCAGAAUUUGCGAAGGCAACGGGGGGCGGAAUAUAUGUGCUAGCACGUCUAUUCGGUGAAGAGGAUUUGUUACGACGCGCAGAUGCGUUCGUUGGAGACACAGAUGAUGUCAUCUCUUUUCGGAGAUCGGAAUGGGCUUUUGAACCCUAAUGGCAGGGGAGACUGCGACGCGGAUGAACAGCCAAAUCGUGGAGGGACUGCAUGUGUUUCUUCUAGCUGGCGGAUUGGCCAAUCUUUUUCAACUUUCGCUGCCGCGUAAGAUAAACGAGCACGAAGUUGGGCGGAUAACUGGAGUAUCACCGAUUAGCACAAAAGAUACACGGGUCGGUAGGAGUAUUCUGCUGGUUGAGUAGAUAUUACCUCCGAAAUUCUGCUACUAUUUGAAUCGGUGCUCAUUGUCCCAGAUCGGCGAGUAGCCAUGACUGAUUCUGGACUUCGGAUAAAUAUUGGGGAUCCGGUUGAUUUCACCUCUCCACUAGCUGUCCUCUUUUGUCCUUGAGAAAUGUCGAUCGCCGUGUUUCCCCCCGGCUGACCAUCAAUCGGCGAAUUUACAACGGUAUAUUUGAGAAGGCCAGACGAGCGCAGUGAUCCGAUAUCUACGCUCCGCGAAUGCGCAUGGGUAUGCGAGGCUAUGGGGGUUUUCGCUGGAGAGCGGGAGAAUGGGAUUUGGGGAUAGUCGUGGUUUGAGAGUCCGGAUAACGGUGUGGAUGGAGUGGCAUUCGUGUCAAUCACAUCCGCAAAGGAGGAAUGUGAGAGAGUGCUGGAGGACGUGUGAAGGCGAGGAAGGAUAUCGUUGCUCAUAGCCGAUAGCGUUGAAGAUGUAUUGUUACUAUCGAUGGUAUUGAAAUUAGUAGAAUGGCCUGGCUCUGCCAUUUCCCUGUCGCCGCAGGAUGGGACGAUCGACUGAAAAUUACAAUCGCUGUUGUUAGGCAGGGGCCCGCCGUUGACGAGUCUCGAUGGUGAGGCCGGAGGUUGCGCAGGUGGCUGGUCCGAGUACAAGAACAAGGCUUGGCUUCCGAACAUGUCUUGGAGUAGUUCCCUGUGUUGGUGAUGGCCCACCCGGCUUGCGUGAGAAGGGCCAAAAGUAAUCGGUGGCCCCGGGAAUAUUGCGGGGGGUGCUGGUUGUUAUCGCAGAUAUUGCAGGUGGUGGUUUCUCGUUUGUUGUCUGCAGUCUGAUCGGCCGUCGCGUGGCUGGGGUUCAACAGCGAAAAAUUCGCUCCACUCCCACACAGCAACGUCACGCGAAAAGCAAACGGUCCGCUGCCUAACUAGAGGGCCUUAGGCCGGCAACGAUCUUUCUACCCUUGCUUGGGCUAUUUUGAGCCACGAUUAUGCGAUAAACUGGCGGUUUUGUAGCUCUCUGGCAGCCAGGUCGUGGAGGCUCCGAGAAUGAGCGUUAAUGGGUCGGUAAGCAGGCUGACCUCGUAGUAGCGUGUGCGGCGACAACCCGAGUGAGUCCGGCCAUGGUCCCAGCAAUGAUAUCGUCGUCGACAGUGGAUCGUGCUUUGCUCUCCAUGAGCCUGACACUCUGCCCCGCGACGUCUCUUCAAAAAGCAAGUCUGCCGAUCGUCUGGUGUCUCUGCAAAAAUGCAAACGACGAUGGAUGCGGUCUCGACUUGCCGGAUCGAGACGCGUCGCGGCGCGGUCAUGUGCGCGAACAGCACGUGAUAUAAUUGAAUGGGAGGGAUAAAGGAGAUAGGUAUACAAGAAAAAAGGAGAAAAAAAGGAGCAGGGAGAAAUGAUACGCUGAACUGCAUGUAUACAAGAGGCAUAUAUCUAAACCAAUUCCUAACAAUGCUGGUAUCUCAGCCGUUGAUUUUGUAGCA